GAUGAACGCUGGCGGCGUGCCUAAUACAUGCGAGUCGAGCGAACGGACGAGAAGCUUGCUUCUCUGAUGUUAGCGGCGGACGGGUGAGUAACACGUGGAUAACCUACCUAUAAGACUGAGAUAACUUCGGGAAACCGGAGCUAAUACCGGAUGAUAUUUUGAACCGCAUGGUUCAAAAGUGAAAGACGGUCUUGCUGUCACUUAUAGAUGGAUCCGCGCUGCAUUAGCUAGUUGGUAAGGUAACGGCUUACCAAGGCAACGAUGCAUAGCCGACCUGAGAGGGUGAUCGGCCACACUGGAACUGAGACACGGUCCAGACUCCUACGGGAGGCAGCAGUAGGGAAUCUUCCGCAAUGGGCGAAAGCCUGACGGAGCAACGCCGAGUGAGUGAUGAAGGUCUUCGGAUCGUAAAACUCUGUUAUUAGGGAAGAACAUAUGUGUAAGUAACUGUGCACAUCUUGACGGUACCUAAUCAGAAAGCCACGGCUAACUACGUG
rnacentral:rRNA from 1 species